AUUGAACGCUGGCGGCAGGCUUAACACAUGCAAGUUGAGCGGAGAUGAGGUGCUUGCACCUUAUCUUAGCGGCGGACGGGUGAGUAAUGCUUAGGAAUCUGCCUAUUAGUGGGGGACAACAUUCCGAAAGGAAUGCUAAUACCGCAUACGCCCUACGGGGGAAAGCAGGGGAUCUUCGGACCUUGCGCUAAUAGAUGAGCCUAGGUCCGAUUAGCUAGUUGGUGGGGUAAAGGCCUACCAAGGCGACGAUCUGUAGCGGGUCUGAGAGGAUGAUCCGCCACACUGGGACUGAGACACGGCCCAGACUCCUACGGGAGGCAGCAGUGGGGAAUAUUGGACAAUGGGCGGAAGCCUGAUCCAGCCAUGCCGCGUGUGUGAAGAAGGCCUUUUGGUUGUAAAGCACUUUAAGCGAGGAGGAGGCUACCUGGAUUAAUACUCUAGGAUAGUGGACGUUACUCGCAGAAUAAGCACCGGCUAACUCUGUGCCAGCCGCCGCCGUAACAC
rnacentral:rRNA from 1 species